GAUGAACGCUGGCGGCGUGCCUAAUACAUGCAAGUCGAGCGAACAGAUAAGGAGCUUGCUCCUUUGACGUUAGCGGCGGACGGGUGAGUAACACGUGGAUAACCUACCUAUAAGACUGGGAUAACUUCGGGAAACCGUAGCUAAUACCGGAUAACAUAUUGAACCGCAUGGUUCAAUAGUUAAAUGCGGCUUUGCUGUGACUUAUAGAUGGAUCCGCGCCGUAUUAGCUAGUUGGUAAGGUAACGGCUUACCAAGGCAACGAUACGUAGCCGACCUGAGAGGGUGAUCGGCCACACUGGAACUGAGACACGGCCCAGACUCCUACGGGAGGCAGCAGUAGGGAAUCUUCCGCAAUGGGCGAAAGCCUGACGGAGCACCGCCGCGUGAGUGAUGAAGGUCUUAGGAUCGUAAAACUCUGUUAUCAGGGAAGAACAAAUGUGUAAGUAACUGUGAACAUCUUGACGGUACCUGAUCAGAAAGCCACGGCUAACUCCGUG
rnacentral:rRNA from 1 species